GACGAACGCUGGCGGCGUGCUUAACACAUGCAAGUCGAGCGGUAAGGCCCUUUCGGGGGUACGACGAGCGGCGAACGGGUGAGUAACACGUGGGUGACCUGCCCUCAGCUCUGGGAUAAGCCUGGGAAACCGGGUCUAAUACCGGAUAUGACUCCAUGACGCAUGUUGGUGGGGUGGAAAGCCUUGUGCGGCUGAGGAUGGGCCCGCGGCCUAUCAGCUUUGUUGGGUGGGGUGAGGCCUACCAAGGCGACGACGGGUAGCCGGCCUGAGAGGGCGACCGGCCACACUGGGACUGAGACACGGCCCAGACUCCUACGGGAGGCAGCAGUGGGGAAUCUUGCGCAAUGGGCGAAAGCCUGACGCAGCGACGCCGCGUGAGGGAUGACGGCCU
rnacentral:rRNA from 1 species